rnacentral:rRNA from 1 species
GAUGAACGCUGGCGGCGUGCCUAAUACAUGCAAGUCGAGCGAACGGACGAGAAGCUUGCUUCUCUGAUGUUAGCGGCGGACGGGUGAGUAACACGUGGAUAACCUACCUAUAAGACUGGGAUAACUUCGGGAAACCGUAGCUAAUACCGGAUAAUAUUUUGAACCGCAUGGUUCAAAAGUGAAAGACGGUCUUGCUGUCACUUAUAGAUGGAUCCGCGCUGCAUUAGCUAGUUGGUAAGGUAACGGCUUACCAAGGCAACGAUGCAUAGCCGACCUGAGAGGGUGAUCGGCCACACUGGAACUGAGACACGGUCCAGACUCCUACGGGAGGCAGCAGUAGGGAAUCUUCCGCAAUGGGCGAAAGCCUGACGGAGCAACGCCGCGUGAGUGAUGAAGGUCUUCGGAUCGUAAAACUCUGUUAUUAGGGAAGAACAUAUGUGUAAGUAACUGUGCAAAUCUUGACGGUACCUAAUCAGAAAGCCACGGCUAACUACGUG